CAACAAACUAGGUGAUGCAGACCGAAAAGCAGAACUACGACUGCCUGUUUGUUGUUUUUAUUGGUCGUAG
rnacentral:ncRNA from 1 species